CGAACGCUGGCGGUAUGCUUAACACAUGCAAGUCGAACGAGAAAGCAACUUCGGUUGUGAUUAGAGUGGCGCACGGGUGAGUAACGCGUAGGUGACCUGCCUCUUAGCGGGGGAUAACCAUGAGAAAUUAUGGCUAAUACCGCAUACGUACUGCAAUUUUGGAAGUAGCAGUAGAAAGGAUGCCUCUCCUUGGAAGCAUUCACUAAGAGAUGGGCCUGCGUAGCAUUAGCUUGUUGGUGGGGUAAUGGCCUACCAAGGCAACGAUGCUUAGCUGGUCUGAGAGGAUGAUCAGCCACACUGGAACUGAGACACGGUCCAGACUCCUACGGGAGGCAGCAGUGGGGAAUAUUGCGCAAUGGACGAAAGUCUGACGCAGCAAUACCGCGUGAGUGAGGAAGGCCUUCGGGUUGUAAAGCUCUGUCAGAUGGGAAGAACGAUUAAGGGUCCAAUAGGCCUUUAAAGUGACGGUACCAUCAAAGGAAGCACCGGCUAACUUC
rnacentral:rRNA from 1 species